AAGGGAAUGGUACCACAAGGAUUUUGUCUUUGAUGAAGACGGCGGCUGGAUGCUUCAAGGUUGGAAGGGUCGCAUUUUGUAUGCUUCAAGUUGUUGGGUGCCAGCAUAAAAUAUGUCACCCAACUCUUGUUUCAGAACUCAUACUGGAUACAGGUACGAUUCUAAGAUCACUCGCAGAUCUCUAAUCUUUUCACUUUCAUCAUAAUCCGAGCUAUGCCUAGCAUAUAUGAUGUAACAAUGAAAAGCUAAUGGUGUUCUUUUUUUUAUGAUUUCAGGCCACCUUCAGCUGUUCUGAAAUUUGAUGAAUAAUAUUCUUCACAGGUUUGCACCCAGUGACCCUGUAUAAUAUUGGCAGAAUUUCCUCCCAGAUUAGCAUAAGAUCCUACAAGGAUUAGGACAAGAACAUUAGUUGUAAAAAUGUUCUUUAUGAUGUUUUUCUUUUCUGUUCUUUCUCUGACCAUCACGAUAUCUUGUACCGUGAGAUAAACUAGCGACUGAUUUGAUUGUUUAUUAAUGGAUGACUGUUUCAUUUAAUUCUCCAGUUACAAUUUUUGCUUCUUGUUUUCCAUUGAAGUUUGAUUUUAAUUCAGCAUUUAAGAAGCUCUCUCAG
rnacentral:lncRNA from 1 species